AUAGCUUGGUGGGGGCAUUUACGAAUGAGGUCCCUUAAUCUUUCCUAUAUCUCAUGAAAAAGUUCAUCAUCCAAUUGGAAAAAACUAGUAAUGACUUUUCUAAUUU